UCGCCGUGCCUCGCCUCGCCUCGCCUCGCCUCGCCUCGCGCGUGCUGUCCUGUCGGCCUCGCUUCGCUUCGCCUCAGCGGAAGCCAUGCCCCGCCUGCUCGUUCUUUGUCUGGUUCCCCGCCGCCGCGUGAUCCCGAUGGGACUGCAACCCGGCCGCCGCCUGACCCGCUUGGAGCCCCGCCGCCGCCAGGGCCCCAAGUUGUCCGUGGACAGCGUCGUUGGGCUCGUGGUGCUGUUGGCGACCUUCUUAGUACCGUGUGGUUUCGCGCUGAGAAACCUGCGCGGGUUCAGAAUGAGAGUAGGUGCCGGAAGAUGCAGAGCAGUUAUUAACAUCCGACGAGUUUUAAAUGAGUAACAGUGCUUAGUUGGGGUGAUGACGCAACCAUUGUGGGUAUUCAGUUUCAUAUCCGUUUGUGUAUGGUACCUAUUUUGCACUUUUUUGGUCCAGUGCGUUACAUGAAGAUGAGUUUGUGUAGUCAUUUAAAAACGUUAAAUAAAGUUGAAACAUUCAUGCAUGG